rnacentral:rRNA from 4 species
UCUGGUGGCGAUAGCGAAGAGGUCACACCCGUUCCCAUACCGAACACGGAAGUUAAGCUCUUUAGCGCCAAUGGUAGUUGGGGCUUUGUCCCUGUGAGAGUAGGACGUUGCCAGGC